AGUGAACGCUGGCGGUAGGCCUAACACAUGCAAGUCGAACGGCAGCACAGUAAGAGCUUGCUCUUACGGGUGGCGAGUGGCGGACGGGUGAGGAAUACAUCGGAAUCUACUUUUUCGUGGGGGAUAACGUAGGGAAACUUACGCUAAUACCGCAUACGACCUACGGGUGAAAGCAGGGGAUCUUCGGACCUUGCGCGAUUGAAUGAGCCGAUGUCGGAUUAGCUAGUUGGCGGGGUAAAGGCCCACCAAGGCGACGAUCCGCAGCUGGUCUCAGAGGAUGAUCAGCCACACUGGAAAUGAGAAAAGGUCCAGACUCCUAAGGGAGGCAGCAGUGGGGAAUAUUGGACAAUGGGCGCAAGCCUGAUCCAGCCAUACCGCGUGGGUGAAGAAGGCCUUCGGGUUGUAAAGCCCUUUUGUUGGGAAAGAAAAGCAGCAGGUUAAUACCCCGCUGUUCUGACGGUACCCAAAGAAUAAGCACCGGCUAACUUCGUG
rnacentral:rRNA from 1 species